CAGCCCCGUCCUCAAGCCGGCUCUUGGAAGAAACUCGAAUCAUCCCACGAGUACAAAAACCACAACCAGCUCCGCGAAUACCAGCUGGAAGGGGUCAACUGGUUGCUUUUCAACUGGUACAACAGGCAGAAUUGCAUCCUGGCCGACGAGAUGGGAUUGGGGAAAACCAUCCAAUCCAUCGCCUUCCUGCAGGAAGUUUCCAACGUGGGAAUCCGGGGGCCUUUUUUGGUCAUCGCCCCCCUUUCUACCAUCACGAAUUGGGAAAGGGAAUUUAAUA